UACGUAGGGCGCAAGCGUUGUCCGGAAUUAUUGGGCGUAAAGAGCUCGUAGGCGGCUUGUCACGUCGGGAGUGAAAACUCAGGGCUUAACCCUGAGCCUGCUUCCGAUACGGGCAGACUAGAGGUAUGCAGGGGAGAACGGAAUUCCUGGUGUAGCGGUGAAAUGCGCAGAUAUCAGGAGGAACACCGGUGGCGAAGGCGGUUCUCUGGGCAUUACCUGACGCUGAGGUGCGAAAGCGUGGGGAGCAAACAGG
rnacentral:rRNA from 1 species